GAUGAACGCUGGCGGCGUGCCUAAUACAUGCCAGUCGAGCGAACGGACGAGAAGCUUGCUUCUCUGAUGUUAGCGGCGGACGGGUGAGUAACACGUGGAUAACCUACCUAUAAGACUGGGAUAACUUCGGGAAACCGGAGCUAAUACCGGAUAAUAUUUUGAACCGCAUGGUUCAAAAGUGAAAGACGGUCUUGCUGUCACUUAUAGAUGGAUCCGCGCUGCAUUAGUUAGUUGGUAAGGUAACGGCUUACCAAGGCAACGAUGCAUAGCCGACCUGAGAGGGUGAUCGGCCACACUGGAACUGAGACACGGUCCAGACUCCUACGGGAGGCAGCAGUAGGGAAUCCUCCGCAAUGGGCGAAAGCCUGACGGAGCAACGCCGCGUGAGUGAUGAAGGUCUUCGGAUCGUAAAACUCUGUUAUUAGGGAAGAACAUAUGUGUAAGUAACUGUGCACAUCUUGACGGUACCUAAUCAGAAAGCCACGGCUAACUACGUG
rnacentral:rRNA from 1 species